rnacentral:rRNA from 1 species
AACGAACGCUGGCGGCAGGCUUAACACAUGCAAGUCGAGCGGAGAUGAGGUGCUUGCACCUUAUCUUAGCGGCGGACGGGUGAGUAAUGCUUAGGAAUCUGCCUAUUAGUGGGGGACAACAUUCCGAAAGGAAUGCUAAUACCGCAUACGCCCUACGGGGGAAAGCAGGGGAUCUUCGGACCUUGCGCUAAUAGAUGAGCCCAAGUCGGAUUAGCUAGUUGGUGGGGUAAAGGCCUACCAAGGCGACGGUCUGUAGCGGGUCUGAGAGGAUGAUCCGCCACACUGGGACUGAGACACGGCCCAGGCUCCUACGGGAGGCAGCAGUGGGGAAUGUUGGACAAUGGGCGGAAGCCUGAUCCAGCCAUGCCGCGUGUGUGAAGAAGGCCUUUUGGUUGUAAAGCACUUUAAGCGAGGAGGAGGCUACCUGGAUUAAUACUCUAGGAUAGUGGACGUUACUCGCAGAAUAAGCACCGGCUAACUCUGUGCCAGCAGCCGCGGUAACAC